AGUGGGGAAUAUUGCACAAUGGGGGAAACCCUGAUGCAGCCAUGCCGCGUGUGUGAAGAAGGCCUUCGGGUUGUAAAGCACUUUCAGUAGGGAGGAAGGUAGUCGUAGUUAACACCUGCAUUAUUUGACGUUACCUACAGAAGAAGCACCGGCUAACUCCGUGCCAGCAGCCGCGGUAAUACGGAGGGUGCGAGCGUUAAUCGGAAUUACUGGGCGUAAAGCGCAUGCAGGCGGCCUGUUAAGUCAGAUGUGAAAGCCCCGGGGCUUAACCUCGGAAUUGCAUUUGAAACUGGCAGGCUAGAGUCUUGUAGAGGGGGUAGAAUUUCAGGUGUAGCGGUGAAAUGCGUAGAGAUCUGAAGGAAUACCAGUGGCGAAGGCGGCCCCCUGGACAAAGACUGACGCUCAGAUCGCGUAAAGCGUGGGGAGCAAACCAGGAUUAGAUACCCCUCGGUAG
rnacentral:rRNA from 1 species